UACGAAGGGGGCUAGCGUUGCUCGGAAUUACUGGGCGUAAAGCGCACGUAGGCGGUCUUUAAGUCGGGGUGAAAUCCUGGAGCUCAACUCCAGAACUGCCUUCGAUACUGGAGAGCUCGAGUCCGGGAGAGGUGAGUGGAACUGCGAGUGUAGAGGUGAAAUUCGUAGAUAUUCGCAAGAACACCAGUGGCGAAGGCGGCUCACUGGCCCGGUACUGACGCUGAGGUGCGAAAGCGUGGGGAG
rnacentral:rRNA from 1 species